AGAUAGUUUACUCGGUCACAACUCACAUGAAAGAAGAUCUGUCGAUGUUUAUUCGUCGUAUGUUCUGUAGAAUGUGCAGUUAAAGGACCACUAUAGUGCCAGGAAAACACUCGUUUUCCUGGCACUAUAGUGCCCUGAGGGUGCCCCCACCCUCAGGGUCCCCGUUCCGCCCGGCUCUGGAAGGGGAAAAGGGGUAAAAACUUACCUUUUUCCAUCGCUGGGCGGAGAGCUCUCCUUCUCUCCU